GACGUAGGGCGCAAGCGUUGUCCGGAAUUAUUGGGCGUAAAGAGCUCGUAGGCGGCUUGGUGCGUCGGAUGUGAAAGCCCGGGGCUUAACCCCGGGUCUGCAUUCGAUACGGGCAGGCUAGAGUUCGGUAGGGGAGAUCGGAAUUCCUGGUGUAGCGGUGAAAUGCGCAGAUAUCAGGAGGAACACCGGUGGCGAAGGCGGAUCUCUGGGCCGAUACUGACGCUGAGGAGCGAAAGCGUGGGGAGCGAACAGG
rnacentral:rRNA from 1 species